rnacentral:misc_RNA from 1 species
GGAGAAUAUACAGGACUCAUUGAUGGGCUAGAGACCAUCAUAGGUGUAGCAGGACCUCCUCUUGACAUCAAUACAUCUGAGUGUUUUGAGCGAGCAAGGAAUAGAAGUGUCUCAGCAAAUACAUUUAGUGCAUUUAAAGCUGCCUUGGCGUGCAGUCUAUUUUCAUCUGCCAGGACAUCCACUAAAGCAUCCAAAAAGAUAAGAGGGUCUAACUCUUUCAGGUUGGAAGAAGUACUAUAUCUUGACUUUGCACUAACAAUGGAGCUAGACGAAAGCACAGAAGCACCAACUGGAGC